GACGUAGGGGGCCAGCGUUGUUCGGAAUUACUGGGUGUAAAGGGUUCGUAGGCGGUGCGGCAAGUCGGGAGUGGAAAUCUCUGGGCUUAACCCAGAGGCUGCUUCCGAAACUGUUGUGCUUGAGUGUGGGAGAGGCGCGUGGAAUUGCAGGUGUAGCGGUGAAAUGCGUAGAUAUCUGCAGGAACACCCGUGGCGAAAGCGGCGCGCUGGACCACUACUGACGCUGAGUGAACGAAAGCUAGGGGAGCAAACAGG
rnacentral:rRNA from 1 species